GUGACAUACCACUUGUUGCCUCGGCGGAUCAGCCCGCUCCCGGUAAAACGGGACGGCCCGCCAGAGGACCCCUAAAACUCUGUUUCUAUAUGUAACUUCUGAGUAAAACCAUAAAUAAAUCAAAACUUUCAACAACGGAUCUCUUGGUUCUGGCAUCGAUGAAGAACGCAGCAAAAUGCGAUAAGUAAUGUGAAUUGCAGAAUUCAGUGAAUCAUCGAAUCUUUGAACGCACAUUGCGCCCGCCAGUAUUCUGGCGGGCAUGCCUGUUCGAGCGUCAUUUCAACCCUCAAGCACAGCUUGGUGUUGGGACUCGCGUUAAUUCGCGUUCCUCAAAUUGAUUGGCGGUCACGUCGAGCUUCCAUAGCGUAGUAGUAAAACCCUCGUUACUGGUAAUCGUCGCGGCCACGCCGUUAAACCCCAACUUCUGAAUGUUGACCUCGGAUCAGGUAGGAAUACCCGCUGAACUUAAGCAUAUCAAAA
rnacentral:rRNA from 1 species